rnacentral:lncRNA from 1 species
CCACCGCCGCCCGCGGCGCACUCGGCUGGUCCCAGCCCCACGCGCUGCUCUCCUGCUCGCCGCCACCGCCUGCAGCAGCUGCGAACACACGAGCCCCAGCCCGGAGGCCCCGGUGCCAGCCCCAGCCCGGCCUCCCCUGCCGUCCCGGGACUCCCAGGCUCCGCCGCGCACGGGGCCGGUUCUGGGGGAGGGAAUGUAAACAAAUCGGGGUUUUAUAGUUACCUCACACUCGAGUGCCGUGUGCAUCUCCUCUCCGCUCGGUACCAAACCCCGGCUGCACCCAGUCGUGUAUUCUCCAAAGCCGCCUGCGCUAUCUGCGUCGCGGAGCCUAGUGCGCGAGCCGGCGCUCUACGCCGGCGGCGCACUCAGUCUGUUCUGGCGCCCUGCGCAGCCGCACCCUGGCUGCCU